UACGGGGGGGGCAAGCGUUGUUCGGAAUUACUGGGCGUAAAGGGCUCGUAGGUGGCCAACUAAGUCAGACGUGAAAUCCCUCAGCUUAACUGGGGAACUGCGUCUGAUACUGGAUGGCUUGAGUUUGGGAGAGGGAUGCGGAAUUCCAGGUGUAGCGGUGAAAUGCGUAGAUAUCUGGAGGAACACCGGUGGCGAAGGCGGCAUCCUGGACCAAUACUGACACUGAGGAGCAGAAAGCCAGGGGAGCAAACGGG
rnacentral:rRNA from 1 species